GAUGAACGCUGGCGGCGUGCUUAAUACAUGCAAGUCGAGCGAACAGACCAGGCGCUUGCUCCUCUGACGUUAGCGGCGGACGUGUGAGUAACAUGUGGAUAACCUACCUAUAAGACUGGGAUAACUUCGGGAAACCGGAGCUAAUCCCGGAUAAUAUCCUGAUACGCAUGGUUCGAUAGUGAUAGACGGCUUUGCUGUCACUUAUCGCUGGAUCCGCGCGGCAGUAGCUAGUUGGUAAGGUAACGGCUUACCAAGGCAACGAUGCGUAGCCGACCUGAUAGGGUGAUCGGCCACACUGGAACAGAGACACGGUCCUGAGUCCUCCGGGAGGCAGCAGUAUGGGAUCUUCCGCAAUGGGCGGAAGCCUGACGGAAGAACGCCGCGUUAGUGGUGAGGGUCUUCGGAUCGUAAAACUCUGUUAUUCGGGGAGAACAAAUGUCUAAGUAACUAUGCACGGCUUGACGGUACCUUAUCAGAAAGCCACGGCUAACUACGUG
rnacentral:rRNA from 1 species